rnacentral:rRNA from 1 species
UACAGAGGCCCCGAGCGUUACUGAGAAUCACUGGGUUUAAAGGGUGCGUAGGUGGCGCGUUAAGUCCGUUGUGAAAUCCCUUGGCUCAACCAAGGAAAUGCUUCGGAUACUGGCGUGCUUGAGGCUAGUAGGGGUCACUGGAACUGACGGUGGAGCGGUGAAAUGCGUAGAUAUCGUCAGGAACGCCGAUGGUGAAGACAGGUGACUGGGCUAGUUCUGACACUGGAGCACGAAAGCGUGGGGAGCCGAACGGG